AGAGUUUGAUCAUGGCUCAGAUUGAACGCUGGCGGCAUGCUUAAUACAUGCAAGUCGAACGGUAACAGAUUCUUCGGAAUGCUGACGAGUGGCGGACGGGUGAGUAAUACAUAGGAAUCUGCCCAUGUAGUGGGGGACAACUUGGGGAAACUCAAGCUAAUACCGCAUAAUUCCUACGGGAUAAAGAGGGCCACUGCUUGCAAGCUCUUGCUACUGGAUGAGCCUAUGUCGGAUUAGUUAGUUGGUAAGGUAAUGGCUUACCAAGACAGCGAUCCGUAGCUGGUUUGAGAGGAUGAUCAGCCACACUGGGACUGAGACACGGCCCAGACUCCUACGGGAGGCAGUAGUAGGGAGUAUUGGACAAUGGGCGCAAGCCUGAUCCAGCAAUGCCGCGUGUGUGAAGAAGGCCUGCGGGUUGUAAAGCACUUUCAAUUGGGAAGAAAGAUUAUGAGUUAAUACCUUAUAAUAUUGACGU
rnacentral:rRNA from 1 species